rnacentral:rRNA from 1 species
UACGAAGGGGGCUAGCGUUGUUCGGAUUUACUGGGCGUAAAGCGCACGUAGGCGGAUCUUUAAGUCAGAGGUGAAAUCCCAAGGCUCAACCUUGGAACUGCCUUUGAUACUGGGGAUCUUGAGUCCGGGAGAGGUGAGUGGAACUGCGAGUGUAGAGGUGAAAAUUCGUAGAUAUUCGCAAGAACACCAGUGGCGAAGGCGGCUCACUGGCCCGGUACUGACGCUGAGGUGCGAAAGCGUGGGGAGCAAACAGG